GAUGAAGAACGUAGCGAAAUGCGAUACUUUGUGUGAAUUGCAGAAUCCCGUGAACCAUCGAGUGUUUGAACGCAAGUUGCGCCCGAAGCCAUUAGGCCGAGGGCACGCCUGCCUGGGCGUCACACGUCGUUGCCCCCCCAUCUACUCCUUCGGGAUUGCGGGGGGCGGAUGAUGGCCUCCCGUGCGCCUCGUCGCGCGGUUGGCAUAAAUGCCAAGUCCUCGGCGACGCACGCCACGACAAUCGGUGGUUGCGAAACCUCGGUUGCCCGUCGUGUGCGGUCGUCGCGCAUCGAGGGCUCGAAAAAAUUGCCGGGCUCCGGCUCGGCUUUCAACGCGACCCCAGGUCAGGCGGGGUUACCCGCUGAAUUUAAGCAUAUCAAUAAGCGGAGGA
rnacentral:misc_RNA from 1 species